rnacentral:misc_RNA from 1 species
AAAGUCGUAACAAGGUUUCCGUAGGUGAACCUGCGGAAGGAUCAUUCACAAUGAGUGUUUAAUGGCACUCUAAAUCCAUUACCCACCUUGUGUGCAAUGUCGGGGAGAACACCCACCCCACUCUUCUGAGAGGGAGGGAUCAUGUUCUUCUUUUCAUACAUACCAACUUUUCAGUAUCAGUCUAUAUCUAUUUAGAGUAUAAAAAACUCGAAAUACAACUUUCAACAACGGAUCUCUUGGCUCUC